GAAAAGUUUUAAGACUUUAAGUCGUUUCGCAAGCUUAUAUAUAUGUAUAUUUCAUGUGGACCAAAUUUUGGCAAAGAAUGUUACUCUUGUACAUAAUAUAUUUUCUGGCAUCAAAUUGCAUCGUUUACAUAAAUUCAUAAAAUUGUUAUAACGCGCGCCACUGCUUCAGCGCCAAGUCAAAAACCAUAAAAGGCGGAAGUUUGUUGUUUCUGGUAAAAAGGAAGAAUUAAUCGGCUUAAUUUCCGGCCUAAAUCUUUUAUAUUCCCGAGAAUGCAUGUGAUUCGAAAAGUCAAAAAGGAGCUCCCAGACUGUCGUCUCUAAAAAAAUGUUUACGUGUUAAAAUUUGUCCAGCUUGAAGAAAAAAUAAAGUUCAUCUAAUGAAAAUACAUAAUUCUUCACAUCGCUGAUAUCACCCGUCAUAAAGUAUCCAGAAACCAUUUGGAACUGUAGUGUGUAUGUACUGCGAGGGUUGGGUCCCAUUGACGUCAGUGCUUGAUUCUUGAAACAGCGAAUCGUUGUAGUCGCGUGGCCUGGAGAUGCGCACUGUGGUAGGGAUGAAACUUAGGGUAAAAUCUCCCCAGGGCUGUAAGAAGCAGUAUCCAAAAUCUU